GACGAACGCUGGCGGCGUGCCUAAUACAUGCAAGUCGAACGCAGUGGGGACGGGUGAGUAACACGUGGGUAACCUCCCAUCAGAGGGGAUAACACUUGGAAACAGGUGCUAAACCGAUACUGAUGGAUGGACCCGCGGUGCAUUAGCUAGUGGGGGGGGUAACGGCUACCCAAGGCCACGAUGCAUAGCCGACGUGGGAGGGUGGUCGCCCACACUGGGACGGAAACCCGGCCCAGACUCCAACGGGAGGCAGCGUUGGGGAGUUUUCGGCAAUGGAGGAAGUGCUGUCCGGGCAACGCCGCGGAGGGGAAAAGGGUUUUCGGAUCGUAAACCUCUUUUGUUAGAAAAGCGGUAUCUAACCAGAAAGCCACGGCUAACUACGUGCCAGCAGCCGCGGUAAUAC
rnacentral:rRNA from 1 species